GUUUAUAUAGUGUUUUACACAUAAUACACUAGAUUGUGUGUGACAAGAGGAUACAAUUGCUAUUGGCUAUCUCGCCAUGUUGCUUUGAACGUGAUUGGUUGAUGUCAUCAAGAAAACUGGCCAAUGACAAUGUGCCUUCUUUUUUUGAAACUGUGUCAGUUUGAAUGGGUAUGGUGCAAGGCAUCAGUGGGCUAUCUGACACUAAUGGAUUACCUGGAUUAUUGCCUGGAUAAUUUUACUGUGGAUUUCAGGGUAAUAACUGUUCUCCUGUUAUAUCAGCAUUAAAUGUGGGUGGAGCUGGACAGUGGCUGUAUGCGCGCCAUUAUUUCAACUACACAAGGCAACAUAAGAGUACUAACCCCCUACAAAGGCAAGGUGAAAGAGAAAAUGCAGCAUGAGCUCCAGAAGUUCCCGGGGAGUUGUGAUGUACUGUGGGGUUGCUAGUUUCAACAACUUCACUGCAGAUCAAGCAACAAGGGAACAAGGUUUACGGCUUAAACAGGCACUCAAUGAGAGACAAGUCUACCAUUAAUGCACCAGAAAUCCAGCUGAUUACUGGCAAUUUGGAGGAGGAUUCUUCUUUAUCUGCUAUGUUUCAUUGUCACUUCUGGUACAGAUUCAUUGGCCUUUUGUGGUAUGUUUUGAUUUUACUUAAUAGUACACUGUAAUAUUCAGGGUUCUAAAUCAAUAAUGUGAUACUUGUCCACAAAUACUACACAUAUUAUCAGAACUACAGUACACAGACCCCCAUAGGGUCAGGAGAAUAUUGUGGAAAACAAAACUGAAUUGGAAUAUACAAGCUAAAAAAAGCUCUCCACCUGUUUCAAAAUCAUGACAUCAUCAUGAUAGUACUGUUAACAGACAAGAUACACAUAUGGGGAAAUGGAAUUUUUAGUUUUUUCAGUUCCUCCUGGGGUGCUCUGAAGAAAUGUUUGUGAAUAAUUGGUUGUUAUUGUAAAUUUACAACUCAAUACAUUAAA